rnacentral:lncRNA from 1 species
GGUCUUCUGGUAGAGUGGAGGUAGGGAUCCUCCGGGAGUAGAAUCGUGAUCAGACCGGGGGCUCUCCACCCUCAGAUUCUCCUUAUCGGGGAAGAUAGGAUGACUGGCCCAAGUGGCCCGCCCUACUGCCAGAUCUUGGAGCUCCGACGAUGCUCUUUCCAACCGCACUGACACCUGCGGCUGUUGCUGCUGGUGCUGCA